AGUAAAUAUAGAACAAGAAGUUUGAUCAUUCUUGACUCGGUGAUAAAGGGAGUUACGUGAAGAUAUUAUUAUAUUAAAAAUGAUUAAAAAAAAACACAUAAAAACGGAUAAAUAUUUAAACUAUUAAUUAAGAUGUGUAUUGCCUGUGCUGCUUGAAUACGUUAUGAAUUUAUGGAAGGAAUAAAAAUUGACACAUUAUUGUAUUUACGAACAGAAGAUGCCGUGUCUGUAAUGUCGGUGUCGUGACUGUCCUCAGUCCCUGGGUCAUUUUCCGGGGUUAAGGGUCCAGCGACAGAGACAGAUGGAUCGAAGCCUGGAGCGCCGGGAUUCAACGGCAAAGGAUCAAUGUUAAUCAGACAUAUUUCCUCUUGGUUGGAAUCAGAAGGAGGAACGCCUGGUGUCGUUGUUCUGAUUUCCCCCCAUAAAUUUGUGAUGAAUUUGUAGAUUUCUUUGUGCUUCCAAGCCACACAUAAACUUAAUGCAAUAAUUAGAACACUUAAUGACACGAUGAGUAUAAUAACGAGUUCAGUGGAGAUGCCUUCAUUUUCUACGAACGCAGCGGGAGACAGCGUUGUUAACACUUCUGUCGUACUGUGGAUGAACGCUGAAAAAAGAGGAUCGUCGUAAAGUGGGAUCCCAUGUUCUAAAAUUUAACACACAGUUGAAUUUUACAGUUUGUACGCUCUGUUUGCUUAAAUGGUGACCUAUUGUUAUCGCGUUAUAUCUUAUGAAGUUAAGAGUGUUAAAAAUAAAAUAAUAUUAUUGUU